rnacentral:piRNA from 1 species
UGAAGAAAGGUCAGAAGCUC